UACGAAGGGGGCUAGCGUUGCUCGGAAUUACUGGGCGUAAAGCGCACGUAGGCGGAUACUUAAGUUAGGGGUGAAAUCCCGGGGCUCGACCCCGGAACUGCCUUUGAUACUGGGUAUCUGGAGUCCGAGAGAGGUGAGUGGAAUUCCGAGUGUAGAGGUGAAAUUCGUAGAUAUUCGGAGGAACACCAGUGGCGAAGGCGGCUCACUGGCUCGGUACUGACGCUGAGGUGCGAAAGCGUGGGGAGCAAACAGG
rnacentral:rRNA from 1 species